rnacentral:rRNA from 1 species
UAAGGAAUAUUGGUCAAUGGACGCAAGUCUGAACCAGCCAUGCCGCGUGAAGGAUGAAGGUCCUCUGGAUUGUAAACUUCUUUUAUCUGGGACGAAAACGGGAUUUUUAUCUCAAUUGACGGUACCAGAGGAAUAAGAACCGGCUAACUCCGUGCCAGCAGCCGCGGUAAUACGGAGGGUGCGAGCGUUAUCCGGAUUUACUGGGUUUAAAGGGUGCGUAGGUGGGCUUAUAAGUCAGUGGUGAAAUCUCCGAGCUUAACUUGGAAACUGCCGUUGAUACUAUGGGUCUUGAAUUAUCUGUAGGUGAGCGGACUAUGUCAUGUAGCGGUGAAAUGCUUCGAUAUGACAUAGAACACCAAUUGCGAAGGCAGCUUACUACAUAUAAAUUGACGCUGAGGCACGUAAGCGUGGGGAUCAAACA